rnacentral:rRNA from 1 species
GACGAACGCUGGCGGCGUGCUUAACACAUGCAAGUCGAACGGAAAGGCCCUGCUUGUGUGGGGUGCUCGCGUGGCGAACGGGUGAGUAACACGUGAGUAACCUGCCCUUGACUUUGGGAUAACUUCAGGAAACUGGGGCUAAUACCGGAUAGGAGCUCCUGCUGGAUGGUGGGGGUUGGAAAGUUUGGGCGGUGGAGGAUGGACUCGGGGUUAAUUAGCUUGUUGGUGGGGAGGUGGCUUACCAAGGAUUGGACGGUUAGUCGCCCUGGGAGGGUGACCGGCUCCAUGGGCCUAAGGGACGGCCCAGACGCCAAUGGGGGGCAACGGGCGGGAAUAUUUCCCAAUGGGGCGGAGGCUGAUGCGAAGAUCCCCGGAGUGGGAUGACGGCCUUCGGGUUGUAAACCGCUUUCGCCUGUGACGAAGCGUGAGUGACGGUAAUGGGUGAAGAAGCACCGGCUAACUACGUG